AGUGAACGCUGGCGGUAGGCCUAACACAUGCAAGUCGAACGGCAGCACAGUAAGAGCUUGCUCUUACGGGUGGCGAGUGGCGGACGGGUGAGGAAUACAUCGGAAUCUACUUUUUCGUGGGGGAUAACGUAGGGAAACUUACGCUAAUACCGCAUACGACCUACGGGUGAAAGCAGGGGAUCUUCGGACCUUGCGCGAUUGAAUGAGCCGAUGUCGGAUUAGCUAGUUGGCGGGGUAAAGGCCCACCAAGGCGACGAUCCGUAGCUGGUCUGAGAGGAUGAUCAGCCACACUGGAACUGAGACACGAUCCGGACUCCUACGGGAGGCAGCAGUGGGGAAUAUUGGACAAUGGGCGCAAGCCUGAUCCAGCCAUACCGCGUGGGUGAAGAAGGCCUUCGGGUUGUAAAGCCCUUUUGUUGGGAAAGAAAAGCAGCAGGUUAAUACCCCGCUGUUCUGACGGUACCCAAAGAAUAAGCACCGGCUAACUUCGUG
rnacentral:rRNA from 1 species